rnacentral:misc_RNA from 1 species
AGUUCGAUUAUGGCUCAGAUUGAACGCUGGCCGGAUGCUUUACACAUGCAAGUCGAACGGCAGCACGGACUUCAGUCUGGUGGCAGUAUGGCGAACAGGUGAGUAAUGUAUCCGGAACGUGCCUAGUAGCAGGGGAUAACUGCACGCGGCAGCUAAUACCGCGUGCGCCCUUCGAGGGGAAAGCAGGGGGACCUUCGGGCCUCGCACUAUUAAACGGCCGAUAUCGGAUUAGCUAAUUGUGGGGUAACGGCUCACCAAGGCGACGAUCCGUAGCUGGUUUGAGAGGACGACCAGCCACACUGGGACUGAGACACGGCCCAGACUCCUACGGGAGGCAGCAGUGGGGAAUUUUGGACAAUGGGGAAACCUGAUCCAGCCAUCCCGCGUGUGCGAUGAAGGCCUUCGGGUUGUAAAGCACUUUUGGCAGGAAAGAAACGGCACGGGAUAAUACCCGAUGCAACUGACGGUACCUGCAGAAUAAGCACCGGCUAACUACGUGCCAGCAGCCGCGGUAAUACGUAGGGUGCAAGCGUUAAUCGAUUACUGGGCGUAAAGCGUGCGCAGGCGGUUCGGAAAGAAGAUGUGAAAUCCCAGGCUUACUUUGGAACUGCAUUUUUAACUACCGAGCUGAAAGUACUAUGUCAGAGGGAGGUGGAAUUCCGCGUGUGGCAGUGAAAUGCGUAGAUAUGCGGAGGAACACCGAUGGCGAGGCAGCCUCCUGGGAUAACAUGACGCUCAUGACGAAAGCAGUGGGAAGCAAACAGGAUUAGAUACCCUGGUAGUCACUUCCCAGCGAUGUCAACUAUUGUUGGGGCCUUCGGGCCUUGGUGGCGCAGCUAACGCGUGAAGUUGACCGCCUGGGGAAAUUACGGUCGCAAGAUUAAAACUCAAAGAUUGACGGGGACCCGCACAAGCGGUGGAUGAUGUGGAUUAAUUCGAUGCAACGCGAAAACCUUA